CCUGAGGGCGCGGGCGCCUCCCGCCGCCGCCCGCCCUGUGGCGGCCCCUGCCCGCCCGGCUCCGCCCGCCACAGCCACCUCCCCUCACCUCGCUUCUCUUCGCCUCCCGCCCGGGUGCCACCGAGCCGAGGCGCCGGGCGGGCAGCGGGCGGGCGGGCGGCCGCGCCAUGAGCGCCGAGUGCAGCAGUUACCUCAACGCCGACAAGGUGCUGGUCAGCGGGUUCAGCUGCCCGCGGGCGGGCGGCGACGCCCGCGCCGUCUUCUGCUGCGGCUUCCAGGACGUCAAGUACUGCUGCGAUGACCCCCACAGCUUCUUCCCCUACGAGCACAGCUACAUGUGGUGGCUCAGUGUUGGAGCACUCGUGGGCCUGUCAAUAGCAGCAGUGGUCCUCUUUGCUUUUAUCAUCACUGUGUGUGUUCUCUGUUAUUUGUUUAUCAGCACCAAGCCACGCAGCAAACUUGAUACUGGUUUGAGCUUACAGACAGCAGACAGUGAGGCCAGAGGGAGUUCGAUAUGUUAAAGACAGAGGCACUGAAUGGAUUCUGCCAAUGUUAUGAAGAAAAGAGAUACAGAGCUGCAUCCUUAACAAAGACCCCACCAAAACAAACAGAGCCAAGUGACUUCAAGACACUUCCUGAGCCACAAGGAUGGACUGUGACUAUUCUUCAUCAAAACAUGUUGGAAUAUUUCUUGGGAAGCAAACUAAAAUUUUCCAGUAGUAUUUCAGUUUGGAGCACUAAUUUGUGAAAUGUUGAACUUCCUUCAGCGUAGAGCAGGUGGAAACCUUUUAGGUGUUGAUGCAGGGUCAAGAGAGUACUGAAGUGGCUCUGCAAUGGCCUUUAUAUGACUGUACUCCAAGACAGAAAAGCCUUGUGGAAACCAAGCCUCAGGUUGGAUCCAUGCCUGCCCAAAGUUGUGACCUACUCCAGGGAGAGUGAGAUGUUCUUCUUGUUCCUGAUGAAUGGCUACUUACUUCUGCAAACAAAUGUCCUCACCUUUGCCCUGAGGAUGAACGCUCUGAACCUGAGCAUUAGCUGCUGGUACAGCUGGUAAACACAACACCACUGUGGUAAAACUGUGGUUUCCUUCAAGCUUUGGUACACCAUGGUCAGUUCAGUAUCUAAAACUCUGGGGUUUGGCUGGAAAAUAUUAAACUAAUCCCUGGUAACUUUCAGAAUCUAAGAUCAUCUGGGUAUUUAUAAGGACUGCCACAGGUACUUUAUAGACCAUGGAUUGUGAGAAGCAGUGGUUGUGCUGAGACCUUUGUAGAGUUGUGGCUUCCAGCUCAUUGUGAGCUUGGCAGUGAGUCUCUGCUGGUGGUUUUGCUGCCUGUAUUAGGUACUAUUCAGCUGGCUGGGACUUCUCUUAUAAUCUUGGUACUGGUGUGAAAAUAGCAGCAUAUCACAUGGCGGAAAAUACGUGAUCUGAAUAUGCCAUGAUCUGGAUCUGGCUCCUUCAUUGAAUUAGGAUUGAGAUGAUUUCCUUUAGGAACAGGCGUAGCUGGAAAAAAGGAACAUCUGUUUAUCUCCAGAACUAAACAAGCAACAUGAAUGCAUUUUGAGAACACCAAGCAAGGUGUGAGCAGCCUGGAUUUGCAGCCCCUCAGCAGUGUGAGCAGCAGGCUCCUGAGCACAGGUCCUGCCUUGCCUCUGGAUGCCAUUUUCCCAGGUUGUGUGCAUGAUGCUGGAAUUGCACCCUGCCAAAUGACCUUGCCUUUGGCUCUCCAGAGGGCAACACUUUGACUGGAGCUUCAAAGAUAUAAAACUUUUCCAGAAUUUGGCUCAAAGCUCAAAGUCAUUGAUUGUUGUAAUGUAUCUGCCUGUGGGAUGACAGCAGUUCUUCUGGGUCAGUACUGAAAAAUGCAGGGGGAAAAUAGUCACUGAAAUCAAGUGGAGGUUACUUAUUUAUUCAAAUCAUGGAACAAAACCCUUUCUUGAAAUUGUUCCCCAAAGAUUAUAAUGGGGAAAAUAGCAUAUAUAUAUAUA